AGAAAGAAGAUUUUCGGAGGGAAAAUGACACAGCCCGCAUUUUCAUCUCCCCCAAGUUUCUUGAUCCUCAACGCAUUCAUCUCCCCUAAAUCUCUUUCUCAACGUAUUCAUCUCCCCCAAAUCUCUUCCUCAACACCAUUCAUCUCUCCCAAACUUCUUCCAGAACACAGGCAGGCAGCUCCUUUGCGCGUGAUGGUGACGGGACAACAAUGCUCUCCUCUGCGCGAGACAGCGACGGACUCCUUUGUAUCAACGGACUCCUUUAGUUAGUUUUAAGGUUGCACCUAGAUUUUUCUGAUCAAGCCUGUUGGGAGGUGCAAUCAUUUUGACAACUAGUUCUAGUUAACAAGAUUCUUCUCUCAGCCACAAAAUACUACAGAGGUGUUGGAAUUUAGUGGAACCCAGUUUGGUUUUGCAGUCAAUGAGACUCAAGAAAGUGUAUUUUUUUUAACUAGGUCAUUCUCUCAAAAGUGAAUUAUAUAGUUACAUGUAGAUGAGUUUUUAACUGUUAUUUAAUGGUUCACAUGUACAACUUUGGGUAGAUGGAACCCAGCCAGAGAGCUUGUCUGGGACACAAUUAUGGUUAUAAGUCAAUAUAGUUAGGGAAAAGCUGGUUUAGGAUAUUG